CUCACUGGUUUGGGUCAGAAUUGAUCCUUUCUUGCCCAAGCAAACUGGCCCUAUUCUUAAACAAUGUGGGGUGGAGUGCUAGUGGUCCUUUCAUUUAUUGUUUUUUUGUUUUCAUUUGNNNNNNNNNNNGUUGUUAAAAAGAGUGAUCAAUAUUCUGUAGUUGUCCGCCUGCCUUUGGUCCAGUGGCAAGGGCACAAUGAACCUAGGGCCAUGUCCCCGGUUAGAUCCC
rnacentral:misc_RNA from 1 species